GUCAUUCGACUAACGGUCCCUGCAAGAGAAACCGUGAAUGAGAGUGCACGCGUUUUUUGUUUACAGACGGAAAACUGUUUUAGCGAUCCGUUGAUCUAAUUUUGUGCAAGGACAACCAUCGUUAUUUUAAGUUACCUUUUGAGGCAAGAUGGGGUAUUGGAUGCGGGGUAUGAUGGGACAUUGGUGGUAAGUCUGGGUUAAUUUAAAUUCCUUAAUAAAUAACAUUGGAUUAUUAUUUUAGAUAAUACCAUGGUACGUACUUACAAGAAAAAAACAAAAAGAGGAGAGUGGUCGAGAGAUGCUAUGAAAACAGCCAUAGAUAAAGUGACAUCGUCAGAACCCUGGGUAGGCUGCCAGAUCUGUGGAUGUUGAGCUCACAAUGCUUGUGCUAGGGUGGACAAUGAAGAUCUGGAGCAAAUACACAUUUUUGUUUGAUUUGUGAGAAUUAAUUAGCAUCACCAUCAUGCCCCAAUUCCAUUACCCCAUCAUACCCCAUAGUAUGGGGCAAGAUGGUUUUUCAUAAUGUUCUUAUUAAUGGCUAAUUGUUGAAAAAUGUGAUAGGUUGAUUUUCCAAAGAUUGUACCAAAUCAUAGUUAGAUUAAUGACGUAACGUGCCAUCAAUUAGUAAUAGUAAUAAACGUAGUAAUUAUGUUGUA